AGAGUUUGAUCCUGGCUCAGAUUGAACGCUGGCGGCAUGCCUUACACAUGCAAGUCGAACGGCAGCACGGGAGCAAUCCUGGUGGCGAGUGGCGAACGGGUGAGUAAUGUAUCGGAACGUACCUUUCAGUGGGGGAUAACGUAGCGAAAGUUACGCUAAUACCGCAUAUUCUGUGAGCAGGAAAGCAGGGGAUCGCAAGACCUUGCGCUGAUUGAGCGGCCGAUAUCAGAUUAGCUAGUUGGUGAGGUAAAGGCUCACCAAGGCGACGAUCUGUAGCGGGUCUGAGAGGAUGAUCCGCCACACUGGAACUGAGACACGGUCCAGACUCCUACGGGAGGCAGCAGUGGGGAAUUUUGGACAAUGGGCGCAAGCCUGAUCCAGCCAUGCCGCGUGAGUGAAGAAGGCCUUCGGGUUGUAAAGCUCUUUCGGCCGGGAGGAAAUCGCAUGGGUUAAUACCCUGUGCGGAUGACGGUACCGGCAUAAGAAGCACCGGCUAACUACGUGCCAGCAGCCGCGGUAAUACGUAGGGUGCGAGCGUUAAUCGGAAUUACUGGGCGUAAAGCGUGCGCAGGCGGUUUGUUAAGAUAGGCGUGAAAUCCCCGGGCUCAACCUGGGAACUGCGCUUAUGACUGGCAAGCUAGAGUACGGCAGAGGGGGGUGGAAUUCCACGUGUAGCAGUGAAAUGCGUAGAGAUGUGGAGGAACACCAAUGGCGAAGGCAGCCCCCUGGGUCGAUACUGACGCUCAUGCACGAAAGCGUGGGUAGCAAACAGGAUUAGAUACCCUGGUAGUCCACGCCCUAAACGAUGUCAACUAGGUGUUGGAAGGGUAAAACCUUUUAGUACCGGAGCUAACGCGUGAAGUUGACCGCCUGGGGAGUACGGCCGCAAGGUUAAAACUCAAAGGAAUUGACGG
rnacentral:rRNA from 1 species